CCUACGGGAGGCAGCAGUGAGGAAUAUUGGUCAAUGGCCGGAAGGCUGAACCAGCCAAGCCGCGUGAAGGACGAAGGUGCCAAGCAUUGUAAACUUCUUUUGUCAAGGGACAAAAUCAGGCUCGAGAGCCUGACCGAGGGUACUUGAAGAAAAAGCAUCGGCUAACUCCGUGCCAGCAGCCGCGGUAAUACGGGGGAUGCGAGCGUUAUCCGGAUUUAUUGGGUUUAAAGGGUGCGUAGGCGGACUGUUAAGUCAGCGGUAAAAGCCCGGGGCUCAACCCCGGCGAGCCGUUGAAACUGGUUGUCGUGAGAUGGCGAGAGGUAGGCGGAAUGCGCAGUGUAGCGGUGAAAUGCUUAGAUAUUGCGCAGAACUCCGAUUGCGAAGGCAGCAUACCGGCGGCGAUCUGACGCUGAGGCACGAAAGCGUGGGUAUCGAACAGGAUUAGAUACCCCAGUAGUC
rnacentral:rRNA from 1 species